GGACUGAAUUCAGCAUCUUGGCCUUGUCAGCACCCUGCUCCAAGCACCUGAGCAACCUCAGGCUCAUGAGGAAGGAUUUACCCAACAGCUGUAAAGGUGCUCAUUCCAUGCCCCUUUCCAAGGAGAAAUGAGCAGGACAAGCCCUGAGGGAUCACUUGGUCCAUGGCCAGAGUUCUUCAGGAGAGUGUCAGGGCUGGUCCCACCUGCAGAGGGGCGUUUCCUGCAGGUGAGUGUUCACAGCCCAAAAUCCCUGCUGGGGCUGGGGCCACUUUCCUGGCCCGGAGCUGCACGGAGCCCUUGGUGACUCCCACUCCCAGGUGGGAAUGUUCCUUGGUGUUUCCUCAGUGGUCCCAGCUGGCUGGGAAUGCGGGGCAGGAGGAGGCCGGGAGCCCAGGAAGGGACCCAGCACCUCCUGCCCUCGGUGUUUGCGGGGAGGAGCUGUGCCUCAGUGUCCCGCCACACCCGCAUCCCGGGGAUGGGCAGCGCUGGGAUGGACGUGGAUCGAGGGCUGCCCGCGGCUCCUCGGCCGGGGGCUGCUCUGACGGGCUCCGGAGCUGCUUCAGCCCGGACAGGCCCCGCCCGCAGCCCAGAAUUACCGAGGAACAGCUGGAACAUCUGGCCUUACCUGGGAAUGUCAGCGCGGUGCGUUUGAGGAGGGGCUCAGGCAGCAAUUCCCGGUGCCGACCUCCCGGAGCUCCUGCAUACCCCCAGCUCCUGAGCAGUGUCAGGGCCACUGGGAAGGGAGCUCAAAUCCAAACAAAUCCCAUCGCCCAUGGAGUGGAUGAUCCUGACAGAGAAAUGAAGAUCUUAAAGAUCUGUUAA
rnacentral:lncRNA from 1 species